AGCGAACGCUGGCGGUAGGCCUAACACAUGCGAGUCGAACGGCAGCACAGUAAGAGCUUGCUCUUACGGGUGGCGAGUGGCGGACGGGUGAGGAAUACAUCGGAAUCUACUUUUUCGUGGGGGAUAACGUAGGGAAACUUACGCUAAUACCGCAUACGACCUACGGGUGAAAGCAGGGGAUCUUCGGACCUUGCGCGAUUGAAUGAGCCGAUGUCGGAUUAGCUAGUUGGCGGGGUAAAGGCCCACCAAGGCGACGAUCCGUAGCUGGUCUGAGAGGAUGAUCAGCCACACUGGAACUGAGACACGGUCCAGACUCCUACGGGAGGCAGCAGUGGGGAAUAUUGGACAGUGGGCGCAAGCCUGAUCCAGCCAUACCGCGUGGGUGAAGAAGGCCUUCGGGUUGUAAAGCCCUUUUGUUGGGAAAGAAAAGCAGCAGGUUAAUACCCCGCUGUUCUGACGGUACCCAAAGAAUAAGCACCGGCUAACUUCGUG
rnacentral:rRNA from 1 species